GAUGAACGCUGGCGGCGUGCUUAAUACAUGCAAGUCGAGCGGAAAGGCGCGGAGCUUGCUGCGUGCACGUGAGGGGCGGGGGGGUGAGACACACGUGGAUCACCUACCUAUAAGACUGGGAUAACUACGGGAAACGGGAGAAUAUCGGGGAUAAGAUCUUGAACCGCGGGGGUCAAUGGAGAAAGACGGUUUUGGUGGCUGGAAUAGAGGGGUACGGGCUGGAUUAGAGAGUUGGUAGGGUAAAGGGUUACCAAGGCGACGAUGCGUGGGCGACCUGAGGGGGGGAUAGGCCACAUUGGAACGGAGACACCGACCAGACUCCUACGGUAGGCAGCAGUAGGGAAUCUUCCGCAAUGGGCGAAAGCCUGACGCAGCAAGGCCGCGUGAGUGAUGAAGGUCUUCGGAUCGUAAAGCUCUGUUAUUAGGUAAGAACAGAUGUGUAAUGAAACAUGCACUGCUUGACGGUACCUAAUCAGAAAGCACCGGCUAACUACGUG
rnacentral:rRNA from 1 species